rnacentral:piRNA from 1 species
UCCUAGACCUCUAUCCUUGACCAUGAAUGU